UUCAUGUCUCUGGUUAAUUGUUUUGCUGU
rnacentral:piRNA from 1 species